GGUUUACCGUCCCACAUACAUACUCAAAAUGUACGUGGGACGGUAAACC
ensembl:miRNA Mir299b microRNA 299b